GAUGAACGCUGGCGGCGUGCCUAAUACAUGCAAGUCGAGCGAACAGAUGAGGAGCUUGCUCCUCUGACGUUAGCGGCGGACGGGUGAGUAACACGUGGAUAACCUACCUAUAAGACUGGGAUAACUUCGGGAAACCGGAGCUAAUGCCGGAUAAUAUAUUGAACCGCAUGGUUCAAUAGUGAAAGACGGUUUUGCUGUCACUUAUAGAUGGAUCCGCGCCGCAUUAGCUAGUUGGUAAGGUAACGGCUUACCAAGGCAACGAUGCGUAGCCGACCUGAGAGGGUGAUCGGCCACACUGGAACUGAGACACGGUCCAGACUCCUACGGGAGGCAGCAGUAGGGAAUCUUCCGCAAUGGGCGAAAGCCUGACGGAGCAACGCCGCGUGAGUGAUGAAGGUCUUCGGAUCGUAGAACUCUGUUAUUAGGGAAGAACAAAUGUGUAAGUAACUAUGCACGUCUUGACGGUACCUAAUCAGAAAGCCACGGCUAACUACGUG
rnacentral:rRNA from 1 species